rnacentral:rRNA from 1 species
CUACGGGUCGCUGCAGUGGGGAAUAUUGGACAAUGGGGGCAACCCUGAUCCAGCCAAGCCGCGUGUGUGAAGAAGGCCUUAGGGUUGUAAAGCACUUUCAGAUGUGAGGAAAGGUGUGUGCUUAAUACGUACAUACUGUGACGUUAGCAUCAGAAGAAGGACCGGCUAACUCCGUGCCGGCAGCCGCGGUAAUACGGAGGGUCCGAGCGUUAAUCGGAAUUACUGGGCGUAAGAGCGCGCGGAGGUGGUGUCGUCAGUCAGAUGUGAAAGCCCCGGGCUCAACCUGGGAAUUGCACCUGAUACUGCGGAACUAGAGUACGAUAGAGGGGAGUGGAAUUUCCGGUGUAGCGGUGAAAUGCGUAGAGAUCGGAAGGAACACCAGUGGCGAAGGCGACUCCCUGGAUUGAUACUGACACUGAGGUGCGAAAGCGUGGGGAGCAAACAGGAUUAGAUACCCCCGUAGUC